GAAUAUAGCUCAACGGUCAGAGUGUUGGACUCCUAAUUUAAAGGCACGGGUUCGAAUCCUGCACUUUUAACU